rnacentral:misc_RNA from 1 species
AGUCGUAACAAGGUCAUCGUAGGUGAACCUGCGGUGGGAUCAUUAUUGAUUUUCUUAGUAGUUCUUCUUAGGAAGGGUACUAUACUUGUGUGGGAAGAGUUUUUUUUUAGUAGGAGAAGGGCAGUACGUAUUACGUGCUAUCUUUUUUCCUACGAAGAGGUGUUUUUUUGUGUUUAUGGACGUUCUUAGGAAGGUUCAUAACACAAAAAUUCAUUUUCUUACUAUAAAACCUUAUGAACCUAACUUGUUGUUGUUAUGAAAAAUAAUUAUGAAAAAUAAUAAACUCAUACAACUAUCAAUGGCGGAUCACUUGGCUCUU